UGACCCGUCUUGAAACACGGACCAAGGAGUCUAACAUGUGCGCGAGUCACUCGGUCUUGAAUAGGCCAGAGAGGCGCAAUGAAAGUAAAGUUGAUUGAGUUACGAUCCUUGUUUAGUCACUCUGUGACGGCAAGGCGCAGUAACAGCCCGCCAAUUUCGCCUUUUGACGAUAUGGCGGAGUUGUAGCGUACACGUUGGUACCCGAAAGAUGGUGAACUAUGCCUGGGCAAGACGAAGCCAGAGGAAACUCUGGUGGAGGUCUGUAGCGAUUCUGACGUGCAAAUCGAUCGUCAGACCUGGGUAUAGGGGCGAAAGACUAAUCGAACCAUCUAGUAGCUGGUUCCCUCUGAAGUUUCCCUCAGGAUAGCAGACACUCGGUGAGAUUCAGUCUCAUCCGGUAAAGCGAAUGAUUAGAGGCAUUGGGGUCGAAACGACCUCAACCUAUUCUCAAACUUUAAAUGGGUGAGAAGCAUGACUUGUUUGAUUAAAGCCUUGCUUUUGGAUGUAUGAGUGCCUAGUGGGCCAUUUUUGGUAAGCAGAACUGGCGCUGUGGG
rnacentral:rRNA from 1 species